rnacentral:rRNA from 1 species
AUUGAACGCUAGCGGCAUGCUUUACACAUGCAAGUCGAACGAGUGGCGGACGGGUGAGUAAUAUAUCGGAACGUGCCCAGUCGCGGGGGCUAACUACUCGAAAGAGGGCUAAUACCGCAUACGAUUGGAGCGGCCCAUAUCGGAUUAGCUAGUGGGUGGGGUAACGGCGCACCAAGGCAACGAUCCAUAGCUGGUCUGAGAGGGUGACCAGCCACACUGGGACUGAGACACGGCCCAGACUCCUACGGGAGGCAGCAGUGGGGAAUAUUGGGCAAUGGGCGAAAGCCUGAUCGAGCCAUGCCGCGUGAAUGAAGAAGGCCUUCGGGUUGUAAAGCUCUUUUGGCAGAGAAGCGGUAUCUGCAGAAGAAGCACCGGCUAACUACGUGCCAGCAGCCGCGGUAAUAC